UGGGGAAUAUUGGACAAUGGGGGAAACCCUGAUCCAGCCAUGCCGCGUGAGUGAUGAAGGCCUUCGGGUUGUAAAGCUCUUUUGGUAGGGACGAUGAUGACGGUACCUACAGAAUAAGCUCCGGCUAACUUCGUGCCAGCAGCCGCGGUAAUACGAAGGGAGCUAGCGUUGUUCGGAAUUACUGGGCGUAAGGGGCGCGUAGGCGGUCCGAUAAGUCAGAUGUGAAAGCCCUGGGCUUAACCCGGGACCUGCGUUUGAUACUAUCGGUCUUGAAUUCGGGAGAGGUGAGUGGAAUUCCCAGUGUAGAGGUGAAAUGCGUAGAGAUUGGGAAGAACACCCGUGGCGAAGGCGGCUCACUGGACCGACAUUGACGCUGAGGCGCGAAAGCGUGGGGAGCAAACA
rnacentral:rRNA from 1 species